UUUCCGUAGGUGAACCUGCGGAAGGAUCAUUAUUGGAUUUUGAAACUUCAGGCUGCUGCUGGCUCUCCUCGGAGGGCAUGUGCACGCUUGUUGUCCAUUAUUUCACCCACUGUGCACAAAUUGUAGACCUUUCAGUAGGCCUAUGUUGUUUUUCACAAUCUCUGAAUGUAAUAGAAUGGUUUUGAAUCUUGGGAAAUACAAUACAACUUUCAGCAACGGAUCUCUUGGUUCUG
rnacentral:misc_RNA from 1 species